GUCGAACGCUGGCGGCGUGCUUAACACAUGCAAGUCGAACGAAGUGGCGAACGGGUGAGUAACGCGUAAUCAACCUGCCCUUCAGAGGGGGACAACAGUUGGAAACGACUGCUAAUACCGCAUACUGAAGGAGGGGAUUGCGGCUGCUUAGCUAGGUGGAGGGGUAACGGCCCACCAAGGCGAUGAUCAGUAGCCGGGCUGAGAGGGAUGACGGCCAAAUUGGGACUGAGACACGGCCCAGACUUCUGAGGGAGGCAGCAGGGGGGAAUCUUCCGAAAUGGACGAAAAUCUGGCGGAGCAACGCCGGGGGGGUGAUGACGGCCCUCGGGUUGUAAAGCUCUGUUAAUCGGGGCGCGGUACCGGAAUAGAAAGCCACGGCUAACUACGUGCCAGCAGCCGCGGUAAUUC
rnacentral:rRNA from 1 species